rnacentral:rRNA from 1 species
GCUAAUAAAAGUAAUUUAUAAAAAUUAUUCUUAUUUAAAUUAAUUAAUAAAUUAUUUAUUAAAUAUAUAAAAAUUUAAUUUUAUUAAAAUAAUAUAAAAAUUUAAAAAUUAAGUAUAUUAAUUAAAAUAUUUUUAUUUUAUUAAUAAUUAUAGUAAUAGAAUUUAUUUAUAAUUUUAUAAUUUAUAUUAAUAAUUUUUACCUUUAGUAUCAGGGUUUAUUAAAAUUUAUAAAAAUAUAUUUAAAAUUUCGAAAUAAAUUGAUUUAAUUUAUUAUAAUAUUUAAUAUUUAAUUAUUAUUAUUAAUAAUAAAUUAGUAAUAAAAGAUUUUUCAUAAUUUAAUAUCUAGUUAUUUUAGAAAUUAAUUUAAUUAAUAUUAUAAUUAUUUAAAUUUUUAUAUAAUAUAAAAAUUAAUUAAAAUUAUAAUUAAUAAUUUAAGGGAUAAACUUUAAAUUAAUAUUAAAUAUUUAAAUAAAUGUAUUUAAUUUUAAAAUUAAAAAUAUUUAAAAAUAAAUAAUUUUUAAUAAUUAAUAUGUAAUAUAUUUUAUAUAAAUAUAAUUUAUAAAAUUUAUUUAAUUUAUCUAUAAAAUUAUAUUUAAUAAUUUUUAUUAUUUAAAAAUUAUGAUAAAAUUAGUAAAAUUUAUUAUAUUAAAUAAAUUUAUAAAAAUAAAUUAAAUUUAUUUAAGGAAUUAGACAAAAAUUUUUAUUCACCUGUUUAAUAAAAACAUGGUUUUUUGAUAUUAAUAAAAAAUUUAAUCUGCUCAAUGAAUUAAUUUAAAUAGCUGCAGUAUUUUAACUGUACAAAGGUAGCAUAAUCAAUUGUCUUUUUAAUAAAGUCUAGAAUGAAUGAUUUAAUGAAAUAAAGAUUGUCUCAAAUAAAAUAUAUAAAUUUUAUUUUAAGUAAAAAUUCUUAAUAAAUUAUAAAAGACGAGAAGACCCUAUAGAAUUUAAAUUUUUUUUAUUAAUUAUAUAUUUUAAUAUUUAAAAAAUAAUUUAAUUAUUAAAAAUUUUAAUUGGGGAAAUUUAAAAAUUUAAUUAAAUUUUUAAAUUUUAUAUCAUAGAUUAAUGUUUAAUAAAUAUUUUUAUUAAAGUUAAUAUAUUAAAUUACCUUAGGGAUAACAGCGUAAUUAUUUUAAAUAGAUCAUAUUGAUAAAAUAGUUUGCGACCUCGAUGUUGAAUUAAGAUAAAUUAUAAAUGAAGAAAUUUUUAAAUUUAGUCUGUUCGACUAUUAAAAUCUUACAUGAUUUGAGUUUAGAUCGGUGUAAACCAGAUCGGAUUCUAUCUUUAUAAAAUAAAAUUAAUUUUGUACGAAAGGACUUUUUAAUUAAAUUAUAUUUUAAUUUUUGAAUAAAAUUAAAAUAUAUAAUUGUUAUUUUAUCAAAUUAGUGA